rnacentral:rRNA from 1 species
CCAGAGAACUUAGCAGAGAUGCUUUGGUGCCUUCGGGAACUCUGAGACAGGUGCUGCAUGGCUGUCGUCAGCUCGUGUUGUGAAAUGUUGGGUUAAGUCCCGCAACGAGCGCAACCCUUAUCCUUUGUUGCCAGCGGCUCGGCCGGGAACUCAAAGGAGACUGCCGGUGAUAAACCGGAGGAAGGUGGGGAUGACGUCAAGUCAUCAUGGCCCUUACGGCCAGGGCUACACACGUGCUACAAUGGCGCAUACAAAGAGAAGCGACCUCGCGAGAGCAAGCGGACCUCACAAAGUGCGUCGUAGUCCGGAUUGGAGUCUGCAACUCGACUCCAUGAAGUCGGAAUCGCUAGUAAUCGUAGAUCAGAAUGCUACGGUGAAUACGUUCCCGGGCCUUGUACACACCGCCCGUCACACCAUGGGAGUGGGUUGCAAAGGAAGUAGGUAGCUUAACCUUCGGGAGGGCGCUUACCACUUUGUGAUUCAUGACUGGGGUGAAGUCGUAACAAGGUAGGCGUAGCGAG